UACGAAGGGGGCUAGCGUUGUUCGGAAUUACUGGGCGUAAAGCGCGCGCAGGCGGCUAUCCAAGUCAGUGGUGAAAGCCCGGAGCUCAACUCCGGAACUGCCAUUGAUACUGCUUAGCUUGAAUCAGGUCGAGGUGGAUGGAAUAUUACAUGUAGCGGUGAAAUGCUUAGAUAUGUAAUAGAACACCGAUUGCGAAGGCAGUUCACUAGGCCUGUAUUGACACUGAGGCACGAAAGCGUGGGGAUCAAACAGG
rnacentral:rRNA from 1 species